UUCAAUCCUUUUUUUUUCUAUCUACUGUGUUAUUUCUUUUUUCUCCUCAAUCCCUAACGCGUACUUGCCACCACCGUUCCUCUCACCCACGCUCACGCAUCCCUAUUGCCGGCGUUGCCAGGCAUCGUUCCUCUCACCCACGAUCACACAUCCAUGUCACCAUCCCUUGCAGGUUGCAGCCUGCAAUUUCGCCAUUGUAGAGAAGGUCUCGAUAGAGCUCUUCCCUCUCCGUAGCAAGCAAGAGGAGCGCAACAAGCUCGUCUUCCCUCUCCACAGUAAGCAAGGAGGAGCUCAAGGUAAUCGUAAAUUUUUUAUUUCUCAUUAAAAUAGAAUCCCAGAGAGCGCCGGCUGCGCGAACCGGCUACCUGCCGACUGCUUGGUGGAGGGUGAUGAUUUGUUUGAUGAGGACUUGAAUGGAUUUAUUUCUAAGCUUACGAAUGUGAUUCCCAAAGUCAAUAAGGCCAUGAGCUUUGUUGAAAUUAUCAAGUGAGUUUCUCUUUGUCCAAAAUCUCUUGCUUUUGGACUGCGAUAAGGUAUAAUUGAAGUCGUGCAAUCAUGUGCAAUUUAAAACCUUUUUUCUCUCGUCUGAUGGCUUACUUGAAGCCUUUAUGCGCUUGGAUUGAUAGAUCCUACUUUAAUUCUUUGUCGAUUCUGAGCAAGGUUUUACUCUCAUUAUGAGCAUGGAGGUUUAUAACAUUUCAGUGUGAUACUCACAGUUAAGAAUACAUAUAACUUAUGAGAAGGACAGAUUCCAUUUUGUAACAAAACUCAUUCUUCAUAUUUGAUAAAUUUUUAGGUGCUCUUCAGAAGUCCAUAUGAUUAGGUUAACAUUUCUAAGUUUGUUUUAUAUGUUUGAUAAGUUAUGUACCAAUUCAUUUAUGAUACAAACCUUUGAGGUUUGUUUUUAUAAUGUUUAAUGCUUGUGUUCUAUGGGGAAUCUUGUUAUAUGAUGUGAAUUCUUAUGCUUAUCAUCUUUGAAGAAGUUUUUAUUUUCUCGAAUGAUGUAUAUGAGCCAAAACUUAAGAGGAUGAAUUGCUAAAAAACAUCUUUCUUUCUUUUUAUUUGCAGAUUAGUCAGUUAUACUGUUGGAUACUGCUCCAACUGGUCAUAAUUUAAGACUAUUGCAAUUCCCAUCAACUUUAGAGAAGGGGCUUGAGAAAGUUGUCUAAAAAAAAUAGAUUUGGCAGUAUGUUGACCCAAGUACCUGCACUAUCCUUAGGCAAUUCAUAACCCUCCCAAGCUGGCUACUCCUCUAUUUGAUACUAAAAUGGCAGAGGACCCUAAGAUGGCAUACAUAGACCUAGAUAAUCUUCAAUUGGUGUUUUGAACGAAGAGCACAGUAGUGUUUGGUCUUGCAUUGUGAUGGCGUCUGAGUGUUGGCUUGGUCUCUAUUGGCUUGCUACAUAUCUAGAAAGCUCCAUGAUUUGUGCUUAGGUAGUUCUUCUCAACGAGCAUAUCUGAGAUGGAACUUCCAUGCUAUUUGCUUUUUCGAGUUUGAUUUGCUGCUACAAGAUCGGAAAGAUAUUAUGUAGUUGUUGUUCCUUCUGGUCGAACAGUUUCACUUUCCCGUCUUAGUUUCUUGUAUGUUCUUUGUUAAAUAAUUACGUGGAUUUAAUUCUUAUCGGUAACAGCUGAAGUGUAUCUAAUUUGGAUUUUCUGGCUCAAAAUAUCAGUAGAUUUGUUGUGGUAGUGCCCUAACAGGAUUUGAGGCUUCUCCAUUCAGGUAGGUUAUGCUCGUUUGACUCACAUUAUGGAAAAGACAAGUUCGGUAGAUACAAAAAUUACAAGAUUGCAAGUUUGGAUUGAAGGUCACAAGAAAAAAAAUGAGGAGCCUAGUACUCAAGCUAUUAGAGAGAAAAUAUUUCUCAAUGAUGCAAUAGGAAGCACGGUCGCAUGGUUAUCUAAAUUUAUAGUAUUGUGUGAUUGAUACAUAUUAUACUUAUUUGUUUGGAUUGUAAGUUGAAUUGUUGUUAUAUAAUUGCUAGUUUGU